rnacentral:rRNA from 1 species
GCGUUGUCCGGAUUAUUGGGCGUAAAGGGUACGUAGGCGGCCUUUUAAGUCAGGUGUGAAAGCGUGAGGCUUAACCUCAUUAAGCACUUGAAACUGGAAGGCUUGAGUGAAGGAGAGGAAAGUGGAAUUCCUAGUGUAGCGGUGAAAUGCGUAGAUAUUAGAAGGAACACCGAUGGCGUAGGCAGGCUACUGGGCUGUUUCUGACACUGAGGCACGAAAGCGUGGGGAGCGAACCGGAUUAGAUACCCGGGUAGUCCACGCCGUAAACGAUGGAUACUAGCUGUUUGGGGUAUCGACCCCCUGAGUAGCGAAGCUAACGCGUUAAGUAUCCCGCCUGUGGAGUACGAUCGCAAGAUUAAAACAUAAAGGAAUUGACGGGGACCCGCACAAGCGGUGGAUCAUGUUCUUUAAUUCGAUGAUAACCGAUAAACCUUACCAGGUCUUGACAUCCUUGGAAUCUUUCAGAAAUGAGAGAGUGCUUUUUAAGAGCCAAGUGACAGGUGAUGCAUGGCCGUCGUCAGCUCGUGUCGUGAGAAG